GCGACCCAGGUCAGGCGG
rnacentral:rRNA from 4 species